rnacentral:rRNA from 1 species
GAUGAACGCUGGCGGCGUGCCUAAUACAUGCAAGUCGAGCGAACGGACGAGAAGCUUGCUUCUCUGAUGUUAGCGGCGGACGGGUGAGUAACACGUGGAUAACCUACCUAUAAGACUGGGAUAACUUCGGGAAACCGGAGCUAAUACCGGAUAAUAUUUUGAACCGCAUGGUUCAAAAGUGAAAGACGGUCUUGCUGUCACUUAUAGAUGGAUCCGCGCUGCAUUAGCUAGUUGGUAAGGUAACGGCUUACCAAGGCAACGAGGCAUAGCCGACCUGCGAGAGUGAUAGGCCACACUGGAACUGAGACACGGUCAAGACGCCUAAGGGAGGCAGCAGUAGGGAAUCUUCGGCAAUGGGCGAAAGCCUGACGGAGCAACGGCGCGUGAGUGAUGAAGGUCUUCGGAUCGUAAAACUCUGUUAUUAGGGAAGAACAUAUGUGUAAGUAACUGUGCACAUCUUGACGGUACCUGAUCAGAAAGCCACGGCUAACUACGUG